UACGGGGGGGGCAAGCGUUGUUCGGAAUUACUGGGCGUAAAGGGCUCGUAGGCGGCCAACUAAGUCAGACGUGAAAUCCCUCGGCUUAACCGGGGAACUGCGUCUGAUACUGGAUGGCUUGAGUUUGGGAGAGGGAUGCGGAAUUCCAGGUGUAGCGGUGAAAUGCGUAGAUAUCUGGAGGAACACCGGUGGCGAAAGCGGCGUGCUGGACCCUUUCUGACGCUGAGGCGCGAAAGCCAGGGGAGCAAACGGG
rnacentral:rRNA from 1 species